GUGGAGCAUGUGGCUUAAUUUGACUCAACGCGGGAAAUCUUACCGGGUCCGGACACACUGAGGAUUGACAGGCAAUAUUAAUAUAGUUUGUGUCUCAUACAAAUUGUGUGGGUCCAAACCUCGAACAUAUUAUGUGAAAAUAUGCUAGUCCUUUCAUGAUUAUGUGAUAGGUGGUGCAUGGCCGUUCUUAGUUCGUGGAGUGAUCUGUCUGCUUAAUUGCGUUUCAUUAUGUGACCUAAUAAAUUUUACGUAUGUUGCUUAUACAGUUUGACCCCUCCUUUUUUGGGUGUGUGCGUCUUACGUUUUGUUAUAUUGCUCAUACAAUUUAGGUCCUGAAAGCAACGAACGUGACCGCAACCUCUUGUUGCUUUCAAGCAAGUGUACCCUACACCUUAUGUCUUACGUAUAUAUUAACACUCACAGUGUAUUCUUAUCUGUGCUGUGUGAUAUUACUUAUACUGCAGGGGUAACGUUACCAUUCAUUACUAAAGAAAGCCUUUUAAACUAGAGGGACCGCUGUUUCUUUCUUAAACCAGAGGAAGGUUGCGGCAAUAACAGGU
rnacentral:rRNA from 1 species